CCUGCCCAAGAGAUCGGGAUAACACCUGGAAACAGAUGCUAAUACCGGAUAACAACAGAUGAUGCCUAUCAACUGUUUAAAAGAUGGUUCUGCUAUCACUCUUGGAUGGACCUGCGGUGCAUUAGCUAGUUGGUAGUGUAACGGCCUACCAAGGCGAUGAUGCAUAGCCGAGUUGAGAGACUGAUCGGCCACAUUGGGACUGAGACACGGCCCAAACUCCUACGGGAGGCAGCAGCC
rnacentral:rRNA from 1 species